rnacentral:rRNA from 3 species
GACUCUCGACAACGGAUAUCUCGGCUCUCGCAUCGAUGAAGAACGCAGCA